rnacentral:rRNA from 1 species
GAUGAACGCUGGCGGCGUGCUUAACACAUGCAAGUCGAACGGUGAAGCAGAGCUUGCUCUGUGGAUCAGUGGCGAACGGGUGAGUAACACGUGAGCAACCUGCCCCUGACUCUGGGAUAAGCGCUGGAAACGGCGUCUAAUACUGGAUAUGAGCUGCGACCGCAUGGUCAGCAGUUGGAAAGAUUGUUCGGUCUGGGAUGGUCUCACGGCCUAUCAGCUUGUUGGUGAGGUAAUGGCUCACCAAGGCGUCGACGGGUAGCCGGCCUGAGAGGGUGACCGGCCACACUGGGACUGAGACACGGCCCAGACUCCUACGGGAGGCAGCAGUGGGGAAUAUUGCACAAUGGGCGAAAGCCUGAUGCAGCAACGCCGCGUGAGGGAUGACGGCCUUCGGGUUGUAAACCUCUUUUAGCAGGGAAGAAGCGAAAGUGACGGUACCUGCAGAAAAAGCGCCGGCUAACUACGUG